CUGGCUUAUCUAGUAGGUUUUCAAUUGCUGGGGGUUGGGACUUUGAGCACAGCUAAGCUGGGUCCUCUGGCUGAGGGUGUCCCCCAGGCUACAAUUAAGAGGUGGGGCUGGAAGCUGCACUCAUCUCAAGGUUCAACAAAGGCAGUGCCAGUUUUGCACAGGUUGCUGGACUAAGGACCUCAGUGUAUCCUGCCUGGCUCAACCCCAAACACAUCUCUCUUCAGGAUGCUGAGAGAACAAAAGACCUGUGGAACUUCUGCCCUGAGCUCCAGCCUGUCCCAAGUGAAGCCCCUGGUGUUGGCCCUGAGCCCUUUGCUCAGCAAUGGUGCAUUCAUUGUCGAUAGUGAACAGUUCCAGGGAUGGAGUAACAGGAGACAGGAGAGCAUCUCAGCACAAACAAAAUUUGCGACGUGAUACUGUGAAGUAUUCAUGGAUGAGUCCCCCACCCACCCUCCCUUUUAUUUUGUGACUUCCUCCACCUGCCCCCAUUCCUGUGGAGAAGCAAGAGGCUGCCAUUUGUCCUACAGAAUAGCCACGGUGGAGCCAGAGAAAAGAAAUGACAAAUAGUUGGCAAUGGUCCACAAGUCCCAGUGAAAGACAGGAUGAAGAGUGUUUGCUGACCAGUCUCCACUCUCCACCAGCCUUUCCUCUUCCAGCCACACCCUGCUCCUGCCCUCCCCUCCACCCCCCAGAAGAUUAAGAAGGGAGAGAGACCAGCUGGGGGAGAAACAAAAGUUAUACCCUGGACAGGGAUGCUGGAGUCCAGAGGAGGGAUGCUGGAAGCCCACCUCUCCCAGAAAUAGCUAGCUUCAAAGGGAGAUAUGACAGACCCCUGAGAAAAGUUUGGGGAUUUCAGAGUAGGGAAACUUGAGUAGGUUUAAACGUGAAGUGCCUAAGAAUGCCUGGAACUGAAUGAGAUUAUAUUUUCUGCCAGAAGAAACAGAACUAAAAAUAGAGAGUUUGGAAAAAAUACAGACUUUUGUUUUUAGUAUUUGUAUUAGUGGGAAUAUGCAUAUUUGCCACAGAAGUGCAAUUUUCUGAAGUGGAUGUUUUUUGCUUUUGUUCUGCAUCCCUCUUAUCGUGAAGACAUGUUUUCUAAGUCUAGAAAUCACAUGUAUACUAACUGGUACAGUUUUAAAAAGAAAAAAAAAAGGAUAAUUAUGGUUCAGCUCCAGCCCUCUGGAGAUUUUCAUCCGGAAUGUCAGCUUAGAUACCGAAUGGGAAAAUAGAGGGCACUAGAUUUCCCCUCUACCCUUGCCAAAAAGAUAUGUUUCCCAGGCCCCUGUGCCCGGGCCUGCCAGACCCAAUUAGAGAAAAAGAACCACAUGACACUAAGGCUCAUUUCACAGCCCUUUUUACUUCCCUGUUCUGAAUGUGACUCAGGAGACACCCAGAAACUGGAUGAGGAUGAGAGAGCUCCAUUUAUCAUUUCACAAGUGCCGCCUGGUGGCCUGCUAUGGAGCAUGCAAAAAGAGAGACUAUGAAUAAGAUUCAUGCAAAAGAGACACUAUGAAUUCUCAAGCCUGGACUCACCACCCGUGCCUGGGUCCUUUCUCCUCUGCCCUCCUCACACCCUAGCCUAUCCUUGGCCUCCCCCAGAAGCAGAAAGUCUCCUCUUUUUCACCCUGGAUGUGGGUGGUUUAGUUCUGAGACCUGAAUUGGGGGAUCAAUUGGCCAAAAGUAACAGGUGUUUUCCCUCCAAGUUCAGGAAGAGCAAAUGAACCUAAGAGUCUAUGAUUUUACCUCCCCAAAUGGGUGCUGGGUGGACGGAAGCAUGGAGUAAUCAGCAGAAGUACAGAAACCUCAACUUGAAUGAUUAAAUGCUUGGGAAAUAACUUCUAAAGCAACAGCGAUAAUGACAACCAAUCAAAUGCUGGCUUGAGAUGCAGCAAACUGGACCCCAAAGAGCCAUCUGAGGUCUAGACAGGUGCUUUAGUUUCACACAUUAUAAAAGGCACAGAAAAUCUUACUGAAGGCCAAGGGGCUGAAAGAUAGCCAAAGAAAAAAGAAAAAAGAAACAGACAUCCUUUUGGUUCACUGAAGUGGCACAUCAGAACAGCCAAUCUUCUGGAACACUUUAAUUCUGGAACAAGGCAGAAUUCAUUUGAAUAUAUGUGUUCAAAGUCCUAGGAAAUUAAGCACAAGGCAGUGACAUCUUCUGGAAAUGGAAUUCUAAGGAUGAAAUGGCUACAGAGCAAACUGCAGCUGAGAGAAAACUGCUUGGAGUUUGGACAGAGGUGGAAUUGAGUGUCCACAGGCCAGCUGAGGAGGUGGUACCCAGCACUCUAUGAACCCUUCGCUCAAGUCAGCCUGGAGUAGGAGGUGGGAAUGUCAGGACAGAGGACUAACACCCCAUGAAACAAACAAAGGCUAUGCUCAUUUUUCUGUCAUAAAUUUCAGUCUCACAAUAAACCAGCAAGUUAGGCAUUGCUCUAUAAUCACUUUGCAGAUGAGGAAACUGAAGCUUUUGAGAAUUGGAGGGACUUGUGAAAGUUCACUCGGGUAGCACAAAACACAGUCAGGAUUUGAAUCCAGGAUUUCAGACCCCAGGCAUGUUGCUUCCUUGGUCUAAACACAGAAUAAGCGGGGAACAGGCAGUUAAGUGCUUCCAUAGAGCUCAGGGGCCUAAUGGGGAAAAACAUCACCAAGGUGCCUCCAGACCCAGGCUCUGAUCAGUGAAGACCCCCCAGAAUACCCAGGGGAAGUUGGUACUAGCCUCCCAAAGCCACUCUCCUGAGUGACAUUGAGAGCAUCCUAUAGAGAAGGCCAUGAGAGAGAUAGCACUGGGACAGAUGGUGUCAGCAGAGGGGACUCCAGACCACAGCAGAAGUGACCAAGCUUUAGCUUCCUUAGAUGGCCCCAAGGGUGGGAGGCUUCACACAGCAGUAACCUUCAAGAGCAAUAGGAGGCAGUUGGUAGGUGGAGGUGGAUGAUAGGAGGGAGGAGGCCAUGUGUGAGUGCUUACAGAAUUUGCAGGGUCUCCAUGCAAAAUGAAAAUAUGGGCCUCUUAUUCUGAAUUAUUAAGAAUUUUAAGAUGGUGACAGCAAAGAAAGCAAGGGUGGGGACUUUCUAAGCAUGGGCCCCUGUGUGACUGCACAGGUCACACACAUGAUUAUAUACUGUAUCUGGCUUAAUUUCAGGCUGCCAUCAUAAAUGUGUUUAUGGAGAAGGCAUGUUGAAAGGGAAAGGUGCUAGCCAGAACAAAGAUUCUGACUUCUCUUUCUUCCCCAAAUUCACUCAGACUGGCUGAAUUAUAAUAGCCACCAAGCAACACACCUUUCCACAUAAGAAAAAUGAGGCUGCAAGACUCACAGCCAGCUAGAGGAAAAUCAAGAUUCAAACCCAAAUCCCUUAACUCAAAGCUCUCUCUUUCCCGGUACCCUACCUAUGACAACUUUGAACCCUGUAAGAAAUACAGACUUUAGGAGCUUCUGGUAGGGAAUGUGAUAAUUCUGUUCUAGGUCAGUGUUUCUCAAACUCCAGCCCUUUACUUACUACUUUCAUAAUUUUUAGCCAUAUUUUCAAACCACCAAUGCUGAGAUUUGCUUAAUAUUUCUCUCUCACUGAUUCAUAAUUUUUUUUUUUUUUUUUGAGACAGAUCUCUCUCUGUCGCCCAGUCUGGAGUGCAAUGGCACGAUCCUGGCUCACUGCAAGCUCCGCCUCCUGGGUUCACGCCAUUCUUCUGCCUCAGCCUCCAGAGUAGGUGAGACUACAGGUGCCCGCCGCCAUGCCCAGCUAAUUUUUUUGUAUUUUUAGUAGAGACGGGGUUUCACCGUGUUAGGCAGGAUGGUCUUGAUCUUCUGACCUCGUGACCCACCCGCCUCAACCUCCCAAAGUGCUGGGAUUACAGGCAUGACACACCGUGCUCAGCCUGAUUCACCAUUUUAAAACCUACCCUCAUUAUAAAAAAUGCUAAUAAUGAAAUUGUGGAUUUGGUGUGCUAGUUAUACUUUUAAAAAAAUGCACAUUAGAAUAAAUAAACACUGUGACUCAGAUAUUCUAAUUCUAUAAGUUUAUCCUAUAAAUAUGUUUACAGACGUGUGAAAUGAUGUAUAUACAAGAACAUUCCUCACAAUAUGAUGAUAGUAUACAAUUGGAGACACUGUAUUGGAAUUGGAAAAUGGGGCACUCAUUAUACGACAGAAAAUUACACAGCCAUAAACAAAGAAUGAGGAAGCUUUCUAUGUACUGAUAAGAGACUGUUGUUAAAGAGUGAGAAGCAGAACUUUACCUCUAAUGAUAUGUGCGUAGAAGAGGAGGGGACAGAGGGUCUGCAUUUGCAUAUGCUUAAAAUCUUCUCUGAGGGAAGAAUACCAAGAAACUAAUAAAAGUGGUUUCUGAUGGGCAGGAAGAGUUUGACACUGAGAGGAGGAAAAUUUUUUGUAUUUGUUAAUUUUUGAACCAUGUGAAUAUAUUCUUUUUCCAAAAAAAUUAAGGAACUAAAGUAAAACAAUAAAUAUUAUGAUAAAAAUGUGUGUCCAUGUAGUGCCUCAAAUGAUCUCGCAAGCUCUUGAUGGUAUAUAUCCCUGCAUGGGGAACCACAGCUCUGAUGCGGUCAGUGGGAUGAUGGCCCUGGUGUGUGCUGUCAACCUCUCAAGUAGGUGAAAGUCCUGGACAAGCUAAGCCCAACCCUAGUGCUGAGAAGGAAGUGAAGGAACCCAUCAUUCUGGGAGGCUCUUCUGUCAGAUGAUCUGCUGAUGAAGGCCAUGUUGCUGACUGUCCUGAAACCCAGAAAAGAGUCUAAGCCCCAGAGUGAAGAGCCUGUGUCUCUUGGUGGAGAAUGUGCAAGCCAUGUCUGCGUUGGUAGUUGAACUGUGACCAGAUGAAAAAAAAAAGACUGAAAUAAAGACUUUCUAGACAAUGUCUUCUAAUCUGAGCCAAGAGUUCUG
rnacentral:lncRNA from 10 species